rnacentral:lncRNA from 1 species
GGGAAAUAUUUUCUAUUAAUUACGAAGAUAUAAGAAUAUGGAUGAUACAAUAGUAGAUUUGGAUGUAAACUGCUGUAAGAUAGCACACAAAAUAAAAAUAAAAAAAGUAAAUAAUCCAGAGGGCAAUACUUAGUCCUCAGCUAUAUAAAUAACGAAUAUUUACAAUAUCAAGCCUCUUAUCCACCGAUUCCAUUAAAUUGUCGAUUAACAAAAAAAAAAUAACACGUAUCAUUUUGAAUCAAAUUCCAAAUCAGUAUGAAGUAUAGAUUUUGCUCAUUGUGAAAGGUCUUGUGGUAGUUACAGCUGUUUACCUUCUAUGUUAUUCCGUUUCUGAUGGAAAUUUCAUAUGAAAUAACAACUUAUUGACAAAAAGUGACACCUUGAUAGCGGUUGAAAUUUGUACAGCAGUAACUGAUUUAUCCAGCAUUUUCGAUUGGUAAAUGAUGACAUCCGUGUUGCUGUAUCGUAAGUUUUCUGCGUUAUAUUUCGGUAUCUCCGUUUUUUGUUUAAUCAAUGGUGUUGUCUGAUUCGACCAUUUUAAUGAAUCUAUCUAUUUACUUGCCAUGACCUGCUGUUCCAUGAUAGAACAUUAACUGAAAAAUUGAUAAAUCUGCAAAGGAUUCUUACAUACUAAAACAGGUCUUGUGUGAGACUUAUGUUUAAAACACGUUGUUACUUUUUACGUUAUAUAUGGAAGCAUGAUAUUAAAUAUAAAUUGAAGUGUGUGUUAUAUUCGAAUGUCACUUUUGUUGCAGUUAACCCUUUAG